rnacentral:rRNA from 1 species
UACGUAGGCAGCGAGCGUUGUUCGGAAUUACUGGGCGUAAAGAGUGUGUAGGCGGUGCUCUAAGUUCGGUGUGAAAUCUCCCGGCUUAACUGGGAGGGUGCGCCGGAAACUGGAGUGCUCGAGCGUGGGAGAGGAAAGCGGAAUUCCUGGUGUAGCGGUGAAAUGCGUAGAUAUCAGGAGGAACACCUGCGGUGUAGACGGCUUUCUGGACCGUAGCUGACGCUGAGACACGAAAGCGUGGGUAGCAAACAGG